UACAGAGGUCUCAAGCGUUGUUCGGAUUCAUUGGGCGUAAAGGGUGCGUAGGCGGCGUGGUAAGUCGGAUGUGAAAUCUCGGAGCUUAACUUCGAAACUGCAUUCGAUACUGCCGUGCUUGAGGACUGGAGAGGAGACUGGAAUUUACGGUGUAGCGGUGAAAUGCGUAGAUAUCGUAAGGAAGACCAGUGGCGAAGGCGGGUCUCUGGACAGUUCCUGACGCUGAGGCACGAAGGCCAGGGGAGCAAACGGG
rnacentral:rRNA from 1 species